rnacentral:lncRNA from 1 species
GUCUGGCUGUGCACAGUGGUGAAACAAAGCCAGAGAUGGCCUCACACUCUCUCCCUCCCCUGCAGGUGACCAUAGCAGAUGACUACUCUGAUCCCUUUGAUGCCAAGAACGACCUCAAGAGCAAAGCAGGAAAGGGUGAGAGCGCUGGCUACAUGGAGCCCUACGAAGCCCAAAGGAUCAUGACAGAAUUCCAGAGGCAAGAGAGCGUCCGGUCACAACACAAAGGCAUCCAGUUGUAUGACACCCCGUAUGAGCCGGAAGGCCAGAGCGUGGACUCAGACUCAGAGAGCACUGUGAGCCUUCGGCUUCGGGAGAGCAAGCUACCCCAGGACGACGACAGGCCUGCCGACGAGUACGACCAGCCGUGGGAAUGGAACCGGGUCACCAUCCCCGCCCUGGCAGCCCAGUUCAAUGGCAACGAGAAACGGCAGUCCUCCCCGUCGCCUUCUCGAGACCGACGGCGUCAGCUCCGUGCCCCGGGAGGAGGCUUCAAGCCCAUCAAACACGGCAGCCCUGAGUUCUGUGGGAUUCUGGGAGAGAGAGUGGAUCCCACCAUCCCACUGGAGAAACAAAUAUGGUAUCACGGAGCCAUCAGCAGAAGUGAUGCCGAGAACCUUCUGCGACUCUGUAAGGAGUGCAGCUACCUUGUCCGGAACAGCCAGACCAGCAAACACGACUACUCCCUCUCCCUGAA